CCUACGGGAGGCAGCAGUGGGGAAUAUUGGACAAUGGGGGCAACCCUGAUCCAGCAAUGCCGCGUGUGUGAAGAAGGCCUGAGGGUUGUAAAGCACUUUCAGUGGGGAGGAGGGUUGUUUGGUUAAGAGCUGAAUGAUUGGACGUUACCCCACAGAAGAAGCACCGGCUAACUCCGUGCCAGCAGCCGCGGUAAUACGGAGGGUGCAAGCGUUAAUCGGAAUUACUGGGCGUAAAGGGUGCGUAGGUGGUUAGAUAAGUUAUCUGUAAAAUCCCUGGGCUUAACCUGGGCAGGUCAGAUAAGACUGUUUGACUCGAGUAUGGGAGAGGGUAGUGGAAUUUCCGGUGUAGCGGUGAAAUGCGUAGAGAUCGGAAGGAACACCAGUGGCGAAGGCGGCUACCUGGCCUAAUACUGACACUGAGGCACGAAAGCGUGGGGAAGCAAACAGGAUUAGAUACCCUGGUAGUCCACGCCGUAAACGAUGUCAACUAGCUGUUGGUCAUAUUAAUGUGAUUAGUGGCGCAGCAAACGCGAUAAGUUGACCGCCUGGGGAUACGGUCGCAAGNUUAAAACNCAAAGGAAUUGACGGCUGAGAGNGCGAGAGACAGAGGAGAGG
rnacentral:rRNA from 1 species